GGAGAGAUGGCUCAGUGGUUAAGAGCACUGACUGCUCUUCCAGAGGUCCUGAGUUCCAUUCGCAGCAACCACA
rnacentral:tRNA from 1 species